GCACAACGCGAAGAACCUUACCAGGCCUUGACAUGCAGAGAACUUUCCAGAGAUGGAUUGGUGCCUUCGGGAACUCUGACACAGGUGCUGCAUGGCUGUCGUCAGCUCGUGUCAUGAGAUGUUGGGUUAAGUCCCGUAACGAGCGCAACCCUUGUCCUUAGUUACCAGCACGUUAUGGUGGGCACUCUAAGGAGACUGCCGGUGACAAACCGGAGGAAGGUGGGGAUGACGUCAAGUCAUCAUGGCCCUUACGGCCUGGGCUACACACGUGCUACAAUGGUCGGUACAGAGGGUUGCCAAGCCGCGAGGUGGAGCUAAUCUCACAAAACCGAUCGUAGUCCGGAUCGCAGUCUGCAACUCGACUGCGUGAAGUCGGAAUCGCUAGUAAUCGCGAAUCAGAAUGUCGCGGUG
rnacentral:rRNA from 1 species